GACAGAGGGGGCAAGCGUUGUCCGGAAUCAUUGGGCGUAAAGCGCGUGUAGGCGGCCAGAAAAGUCCGCUGUGAAAACUCGAGGCUCAACUUCGAGCUGUCGGUGGAAACUUUCUGGCUAGAGUCCGGAAGAGGAGAAUGGAAUUCCUGGUGUAGCGGUGAAAUGCGCAGAUAUCAGGAAGAACACCCGUGGCGAAGGCGGUUCUCUGGGACGGUACUGACGCUGAGACGCGAAAGCGUGGGGAGCGAACAGG
rnacentral:rRNA from 1 species